rnacentral:rRNA from 1 species
GACGAACGCUGGCGGCGUGCUUAACACAUGCAAGUCGAACGGUAAGGCCCUGCUUUUGUGGGGUGCUCGAGUGGCGAACGGGUGAGUAACACGUGAGUAACCUGCCCUUGACUUUGGGAUAACUUCAGGAAACUGGGGCUAAUAUCGGAUAGGAGCUCCUGCUGCAUGGUGGGGGUUGGAAAGUUUCGGCGGUUGGGGAUGGACUCGCGGCUUAUCAGCUUGUUGGUGGGGUAGUGGCUUACCAAGGCUUUGACGGGUAGCCGGCCUGAGAGGGUGACCGGCCACAUUGGGACUGAGAUACGGCCCAGACUCGUACGGGGGGCAGCAGUGGGGAAUAUUGCACAGUGGGCGGAAGCCGGAUGCAGCAACGCCGCGGGCGGGAUGACGGCCUUCUGGGUGUAAACCGCUUUCGCCUGUGACGAAGCGUGAGUGACGGUAAUGAGUAAAGAAGCACCGGCUAACUACGUG